UUAAAUAGGAAGCAAAGUCAGCAGCUAAGAGUGAGGAUGGGCGGAAGUGACGCCAGAGAUCUGAGAAAGAGAACCACGGGGGAACUGAAGUAGGUGCUGAACCCUCCUUGCGGCCGGUGGCUGUCGAUGCAGAGAAAGACCAGCAGCAUGGAAGUGUGUUCGCCUCCAGCCACAUUCAGCUGCUCAGGCAAUGCUCAGAGCAGCCUAAGGAGGGGAUCUUCAGAGCUGGGGUUUUGCCAGUAUACUCCACAGUCAUCUGGGAGCACAGCAUUACUGACCAAGAUGCUUUUCUAAUCAGGACCAAAGCCUGACAUUCCUUCCAGUGGGUACUAAAGAGACACCUCAUUCAUUUGCAGAAAUUCCCCAGUGGCUUCGCAUUGCAAAACUCCAGACCUGUCAGGCUCUGAGCCCAACUUCCCUCACCUCCAGCUUCAAACAUUAUCCAACCAGCUCGGGGCUCUUGUUUUUCCAAGGUGCUGAUGCUGGAUUGCUUCUGACUGGAAGAAUUCUGGUAACGUCUCAAAAAGAUUAUGUACAUAUGUUCAUAUGUAUAAGACUAGCAAUGUCUUGUUCAUAUGUACAAGAUUAGCAGUGUCUUAAUUUAAGGGUCAUUCCAGUGGAAUCUGGUUAUAUCGAAAAGUGGAGAGGGUUUCAAUAGAGUCAGCACAAAGAGAACUUUGCCUCGAUUUUGUGCAAAGAUCAUUUAGGGUCACACUGAGUUUAGUUCAUGGCAUAUGAUUUCUCCUAGUAGAAAAAUUCUGUGAUCUUGAGAUAGAAUUCUCUUUGUCCUCUCUACCAGAUAUGAGAAAAGAUAAUUUAUUACACAGCAUAAAAUCCCACUCUAUCUAGAUCUACCACUCAUUUUUAAAGAAAUGUUAUGCACCAAUUAUGAGUGAGAUUCUGGGGAUACAACAGUGAGCAAAAGAGACAUUUACUCUUAGAGAAAAUGAAGCUUAUUUUUUUCAGAGUAUACUACCGCAUGGUUUCUUCAGCUCCAACUCUGAAGUGCCCCUCUACUUUGGACAAAUCAUGUCUAAAUCCCGUAAUUUCCUAAUCACAUACCAUAGUUUCCUAAUUUGGGGGGGAUAAAGAAAGAACAAAGUACACAAUGUUCACUUAGCUUCUGAAAACACAUGGGAAGGAAAUGUUUUGCUAACAUUCAAUUAGUAAAUCAAGCUUCUUUACCAGGUCCCUGACAGAAGCAUAGGGUCCCCAAAAUACUAUUUGUGGUUUCAACCCACUCCCAGGAUAAGCUACAACAACGCAAAUUUAGUACUUUAUUACAUCAACUAAGAAAUUGUCGGGGAGAGAGAUAAAUUAGAAGGUUGGGAAUAACAAAUACACACUACUAUAUAUAAAAUAGAUAACCAACAAGGAUCUACUGUAGAGCACAGGGAACUCUACUCAAUAUUUUGUAACAACCUGUAAGAGAAAAGAAUCUGAAAAAGAACAUAUAUAUGUACAUAUACAUAACUAUAUAUAUAUAAAUGAAUCACUGUGCUGUACACCUGAGACUAA